AGUGGCGGACGGGUGAGUAACGCGUGAGAAUCUACCUUCAGGACGGGGACAACAGCUGGAAACGGCUGCUAAUACCCGAUAUGCCGAAAGGUGAAAAGUUAUUUCGCCUGGAGAGGAGCUCGCGUCCGAUUAGCUAGUUGGUGGGGUAAAAGCUUACCAAGGCAACGAUCGGUAGCUGGUCUGAGAGGAUGAGCAGCCACACUGGAACUGAGACACGGUCCAGACUCCUACGGGAGGCAGCAGUGGGGAAUUUUCCGCAAUGGGCGAAAGCCUGACGGAGCAACGCCGCGUGGGGGAAGAAGGUUUUUGGAUUGUAAACCCCUUUUCUCAAGGAAGAACAAAAUGACGGUACUUGAGGAAUCAGCCUCGGCUAACUCCGUGCCAGCAGCCGCGGUAAUACGGAGGAGGCAAGCGUUAUCCGGAAUUAUUGGGCGUAAAGCGUUCGUAGGCGGCUGUUCAAGUCUGCUGUCAAAGACCGAGGCUCAACCUCGGGUCGGCAGUGGAAACUGGAUAGCUAGAGGUCGGUAGGGGCAGAGGGAAUUCCCAGUGUAGCGGUGAAAUGCGUAGAUAUUGGGAAGAACACCGGUGGCGAAAGCGCUCUGCUGGGCCGAACCUGACGCUGAGGGACGAAAGCUAGGGGAGCGAAUGGGAUUAGAUACCCC
rnacentral:rRNA from 1 species